GUAGUAACGUGCAGUUUGGCCGGCCGACAGAGCGAGCCACCCCACAGCCACGGAGGUUAGCUGAAGCUAACCCUUUGUUCACUGUGGAUGCUUCCUACAACUUCAUCGCCCUGGACAACUUUUCUUCAGCACGGUUCACCUAAGAGAAAACAGUCAUGCCAGAGCAGAAGCGGUCCGUGACCCUGACAAACCAAAUCUGAACAUGCAUGUGGGGUAUGUUGUCCCUGGCGCAGCCCUCCUCCUCGGCAUCAUGCCGGGCUGUACUAUCUGGAUCAAGCGUAAGACCAAGUCCUCCGACAUCACAGUUGAGCAGACUUGUGUUGCUACCAGUGCCAAUGCCUAUAAGGACAAAGAACAUGCUGAGGCUGAGGAUAAAGCCUUUAGCGUGCAGCAUGCAGACCCGACUGAAACACCUGACAUCCUGGACCACAGCCUCAAAAGUGAUGCGUGUUAAGCAACAUUGCACCUCAGACCAGUCGCAGUUUGCUAAACCCAGUGACUGCAUGUGUGCAGCAGUGUAAUGUCAGGGUCACACUUGAGCAAGACAUUAUCAUGUGUAGCAUUAAAACCUGUGUUGUUUGAUCUUUUA